ensembl:lncRNA
GCAGGCAGAGUGGUCAGGCAGGUGGGCUCAGAGUCAGGACAGGCAGGUCAGGCAGGCUCAGAGUCAGGACAGGCAGAGUGGUCAGGCAGGCGGGCUCAGAGUCAGGACAGGCAGAGUGGUCAGGCAGGCGGGCUCAGAGUCAGGACAGGCAGAGCGGUCAGGCAGGUGGGCUCAGAGUCAGGACAGGCAGACUGGUCAGGCAGGUGGGCUCAGAGUCAGGACAGGCAGAGCGGUCAGGCAGGUGGGCUCAGAGUCAGGGCAGGCAGAGCGGUCAGGCAGGUGGGCUCAGAGUCAGGACAGGCAGAGUGGUCAGGCAGGCGAGCUCAGAGUCAGGACAGGCAGAGUGGUCAGGCAGGCGGGCUCAGAGUCAGGACAGGCAGAGUGGUCAGGCAGGUGGGCUCAGAGUCAGGACAGGCAGAGUGGUCAGGCAGGUGGGCUCAGAGUCAGGACAGGCAGAGUGGUCAGGCAGGUGGGCUCAGAGUCAGGCAGGUGGGCUCAGAGUCAGGACAGGCAGAGUGGUCAGGCAGGUGGGCUCAGAGUCAGGACAGGCAGAGUGGUCAGGCAGGGGCUCAG